rnacentral:misc_RNA from 1 species
GAUGAAGAACGUAGCCAAAUGCGAUAAGUAAUGUGAAUUGCAGAAUUCAGUGAAUCAUCGAAUCUUUGAACGCACAUUGCGCCCGCCAGUAUUCUGGCGGGCAUGCCUGUUCGAGCGUCAUUUCAACCCUCAAGCACAGCUUGGUGUUGGGACUCGCGUUAAUUCGCGUUCCCCAAAUUGAUUGGCGGUCACGUCGAGCUUCCAUAGCGUAGUAGUAAAACCCUCGUUACUGGUAAUCGUCGCGGCCACGCCGUUAAACCCCAACUUCUGAAUGUUGACCUCGGAUCAGGUAGGAAUACCCGCUGAACUUAAGCAUAUCAAUAAGCGGAGGA